UUUAUUAAUGAUCAUUAAUAAUUAGAAUUCAUUAAUUAAUAUUAAUAUUUAAUUAACAUUAAAGGAUGGUUUUAGAAUAUAAAGAAAAGAAUGUGAGUUAAUGUGCCUUGUACCACUUACCAUAAACAUUAAUUAGGCUAUAGCAAAAUUGUAUAUACCUUUAGAAUUCCUCCCCUUCCAUUAGGUAUAAUGCUGAUUUCCCCCCCUCAAAUUUAAUCAACAUACAGGAGUAAAUUUGAACAUAUGAGAUACAUUGUGAAUGGAAAUAUUAUUCUUGUGUAUCUUGGGGUCUAACACUAAGAUAAAAAGAAUUUUUAAGGGGCGUAUCAAUUAAUGUCAAAAGACUGAUCAAGAAAACUAAUUUUUCUAAAUAAAAUUAACACACCACUGUACUUUGAAAUUAUUUAUAUUUUGUUGCCCAUGCACUUAAAUUUUUUUUUAAUUUUUUUCAAGUAAAGAUCGAAUAUUUUCUUGUUCAAGAAGCUUGUUGAUAGCUUUUAAUCUUCUCUGUGAAAAAAUGAUGCAAAGAAGAGUCCAGAACCUCGAUUUAUUUUCUUGUCAAAUAGACAAAGGGGACAACGAACUGGGGCUUUGUACUUGUAUCUUCUUUGAUCCAGCAGAUGAGGAUGGAAAGGAACCAGGGGUUUUUAUAACUGAAAUUAUUGAAGGAGGUGCAGUUCACAAACUUGGAUGUAUCCGUGUAUUUGACCAGAUUAUUAAAAUAGGUGACAUCAAUCUAAUUGGAUUGGAUGAAGCAGAAAUCGUCUCUACUUUUAAAAAAAUGGACGAUUCUCCUUUCCAGAUUGAAAUUGGCCGCGAACCACCUAAAGUGAAGUCAGAACUUAUCGAACUCCUCGAGUUGUCAGAGGAAAGGAAGAAAUAUUUUAUGGAUUCGCUCAUAGUACAGGGAAAAAUUAGAGAUAUCACUAUUGUGAGAGGACAAGCAAGUAUUUGUAGAAGUCCAAGAGUACUAUGGUACUGGAUGGCCAGGUAUAUAUAUAGAUAUAUAUAUAGGUAUAAAGAUAUAUAUGUAAGCUUUUAUUGAGUAUGUAAACUAGUGGUUUUUUUAGACAAAACUUAGUGAAAGGUUAAUAAUAAAACAACAAUAUGCUUUUGCCUCUAAAUUCCA
rnacentral:lncRNA from 1 species